rnacentral:rRNA from 1 species
CGGGUGCUAUAAUGCAGUCGAGCGGACAGAUGGGAGCUUGCUCCCUGAUGUUAGCGGCGGACGGGUGAGUAACACGUGGGUAACCUGCCUGUAAGACUGGGAUAACUCCGGGAAACCGGGGCUAAUACCGGAUGGUUGUUUGAACCGCAUGGUUCAAACAUAAAAGGUGGCUUCGGCUACCACUUACAGAUGGACCCGCGGCGCAUUAGCUAGUUGGUGAGGUAACGGCUCACCAAGGCAACGAUGCGUAGCCGACCUGAGAGGGUGAUCGGCCACACUGGGACUGAGACACGGCCCAGACUCCUACGGGAGGCAGCAGUAGGGAAUCUUCCGCAAUGGACGAAAGUCUGACGGAGCAACGCCGCGUGAGUGAUGAAGGUUUUCGGAUCGUAAAGCUCUGUUGUUAGGGAAGAACAAGUACCGUUCGAAUAGGGCGGUACCUUGACGGUACCUAACCAGAAAGCCACGGCUAACUACGUGCCAGCAGCCGCGGUAAUACGUAGGUGGCAAGCGUUGUCCGGAAUUAUUGGGCGUAAAGGGCUCGCAGGCGGUUUCUUAAGUCUGAUGUGAAAGCCCCCGGCUCAACCGGGGAGGGUCAUUGGAAACUGGGGAACUUGAGUGCAGAAGAGGAGAGUGGAAUUCCACGUGUAGCGGUGAAAUGCGUAGAGAUGUGGAGGAACACCAGUUGGCGAAAGGCGACUCUCUGGUCUGUAACUGUACGCUGAGGAGCGAAAGCGUGUGGAGCGAACAGGAUUAGAUACUCUGGGUAGGUCCACGCCCGUAAACGAUGAAUUGCUAAGUGGUUAA